UACAGAGGGUGCUAGCGUUGUUCGGAAUCAUUGGGCGUAAAGGGCGUGUAGGCGGUUUGUUAAGUCAUGUGUGAAAUCCCUCGGCUCAACCGGGGAACGACGCAUGAAACUGGCAAGCUAGAGUACCAAAGAGGGGGGUGGAAUUCCCGGUGUAGCGGUGAAAUGCGCAGAUAUCAGGAGGAACACCGGUGGCGAAGGCGGGUCUCUGGGCCGAUACUGACACUGAGGAGCGAAAGCGUGGGGAGCAAACAGG
rnacentral:rRNA from 1 species